rnacentral:rRNA from 1 species
AUUGAACGCUUUCGGCAUGCCUUACACAUGCAAGUCGAACGGCAGCAUGAUCUAGCUUGCUAGAUUGAUGGCGAGUGGCGAACGGGUGAGUAAUACAUCGGAACGUGCCCUGUAGUGGGGGAUAACUAGUCGAAAGAUUAGCUAAUACCGCAUACGACCUGAGGGUGAAAGUGGGGGACCGCAAGGCCUCAUGCUAUAGGAGCGGCCGAUGUCUGAUUAGCUAGUUGGUGGGGUAAAGGCCCACCAAGGCGACGAUCAGUAGCUGGUCUGAGAGGACGAUCAGCCACACUGGGACUGAGACACGGCCCAGACUCCUACGGGAGGCAGCAGUGGGGAAUUUUGGACAAUGGGCGAAAGCCUGAUCCAGCAAUGCCGCGUGUGUGAAGAAGGCCUUCGGGUUGUAAAGCACUUUUGUCCGGAAAGAAAUGGCUCUGGUUAAUACCUGGGGUCGAUGACGGUACCGGAAGAAUAAGGACCGGCUAACUACGUGCCAGCAGCCGCGGUAAUACGUAGGGUCCAAGCGUUAAUCGGAAUUACUGGGCGUAAAGCGUGCGCAGGCGGUUGUGCAAGACCGAUGUGAAAUCCCCGAGCUUAACUUGGGAAUUGCAUUGGUGACUGCACGGCUAGAGUGUGUCAGAGGGGGGUAGAAUUCCACGUGUAGCAGUGAAAUGCGUAGAGAUGUGGAGGAAUACCGAUGGCGAAGGCAGCCCCCUGGGAUAACACUGACGCUCAUGCACGAAAGCGUGGGGAGCAAACAGGAUUAGAUACCCUGGUAGUCCACGCCCUAAACGAUGUCAACUAGUUGUUGGGGAUUCAUUUCCUUAGUAACGUAGCUAACGCGUGAAGUUGACCGCCUGGGGAGUACGGUCGCAAGAUUAAAACUCAAAGGAAUUGACGGGGACCCGCACAAGCGGUGGAUGAUGUGGAUUAAUUCGAUGCAACGCGAAAAACCUUACCUACCCUUGACAUGCCACUAACGAAGCAGAGAUGCAUUAGGUGCUCGAAAGAGAAAGUGGACACAGGUGCUGCAUGGUUGUCGUCAGCUCGUGUCGUGAGAUGUUGGGUUAAGUCCCGCAACGAGCGCAACCCUUGUCUCUAGUUGCUACGAAAGGGCACUCUAGAGAGACUGCCGGUGACAAACCGGAGGAAGGUGGGGAUGACGUCAAGUCCUCAUGGCCCUUAUGGGUAGGGCUUCACACGUCAUACAAUGGUGCACACAGAGGGUUGCCAAGCCGCGAGGUGGAGCUAAUCCCAGAAAAUGCAUCGUAGUCCGGAUCGUAGUCUGCAACUCGACUACGUGAAGCUGGAAUCGCUAGUAAUCGCGGAUCAGCAUGCCGCGGUGAAUACGUUCCCGGGUCU